GACAGAGGCGGCGACCGUUACCCGGAUUCACUGGGCGUAAAGGGUGCGUAGGUGGUCGCGCAUGUCGUCGGUGAAAUCUCCCUGCUCAACGGGGAGAGGUCCGACGAAACUGCGCGGCUGGAGGGCCGGAGAGGGAGGCGGAACUUCCAGAGUAGCGGUGAAAUGCGUAGAUACUGGAAGGUGCCUCAAUAGCGAAGGCAGCCUCCUGGCCGGUUCCUGACGCUGAGGCACGAAAGCGUGGGGAGCAAACCGG
rnacentral:rRNA from 1 species